GGGGCGACCUGGGCUAAACGCACUCCGAGCAAUCAUCUCAACGUAUCAUUUGCUCAUGCACUUUUUGAUGAGAAAAAAAAUUGGUGAGAUGAGAAGAGAUCCGUAGCUAGCCCAAUAAUGCUACUUAACCAUCGUCAAAGAAAAGAAGCUGGCUGAAGCUCUUUCCAUCGAUGACAGACUGGACCAAAGAGAGGAAGAAAGUCGAGGAGAACCCACAGAGCGACUCACCUCGAUGCCCCUCAACAAGGAGGAUCCGAUCAGAACUGCUCUGGUCAGAUCUUCCUUAAGCGACGAACUAAGAGAGGA
rnacentral:lncRNA from 1 species